AACGAACGCCGGCGGCAGGCCUAACACAUGCAAGUCGAACGGACCCUUCGGGGUUAGUGGCGCACGGGUGAGCAACACGUGGGAAUAUGCCCUUGGGUAAGGAAAAACAGUUCGAAACGACUGCUAAUACCUUAUAACAUCGCGAGAUCAAAGAUUUAUCGCCCAAGGAUUAGCCCGCGUUAGAUUAGGUAGUUGGUGGGGUAAUAGCCUACCAAGCCUACGAUCUAUAGCUGGUCUUAGAGGAUGACCAGCCACACUGGGACUGAGACACGGCCCAGACCCCUACGGGAGGCAGCAGUGAGGAAUAUUGGACAAUGGGCGAAAGCCUGAUCCAGCCAUGCCGCGUGAAUGAUGAAGGCCUUAGGGUUGUAAAGUUCUUUUAGUAGUGAAGAUGAUGACGGUAACUACAGAAAAAGCUCCGGCUAACUUCGUGCCAGCCGCCGCCGUAA
rnacentral:rRNA from 1 species